rnacentral:tRNA from 1 species
GCCUGGGUGGCUCAGUCAGUCAAGCAUCUGACUUCGGCUCAGGUCAUGAUCUCGCGGUCCGUGGGUUCGAGCCCCAUGUCGGGCU